rnacentral:rRNA from 1 species
UGGCCAGACUCCUACGGGAGGCAGCAGUGGGGAAUAUUGCACAAUGGGGGAAACCCUGAUGCAGCAACGCCGCGUGAGUGAGGAAGUAUUUCGGUAUGUAAAGCUCUAUCAGCAGGGAAUAGAAAAGAAGGUACCUGAAAAAGAAGCCCCGGCUAACUACGUGCCAGCAGCCGCGGUAAUACGUAGGGGGCGAGCGUUAUCCGGAUUCACUGGGUGUAAAGGGAGCGUAGACGGCCAAGCAAGCCAGGGGUGAAAGCCCGGGGCCCAACCCCGGGACUGCCCUUGGAACUGCAUGGCUGGAGUGCGGGAGGGGCAGGCGGAAUUCCUGGUGUAGCGGUGAAAUGCGUAGAUAUCAGGAGGAACACCGGCGGCGAAGGCGGCCUGCUGGACUGCAACUGACGUUGAGGCCCGAAAGCGUGGGGAGCAAACAGGAUUAGAUACCCUUGUAGAC